rnacentral:lncRNA from 1 species
GCACGGCGCUGAUCGCUGCGUGACGGAGCCGCGCGGGGGGCGGCGCGGGGCUCGGCCGGAGCUGAGAUGAAGUUAAAGUACAAACAGGAGCACAUAGCUGACAUGCUUCAAGUUGAGACAGUUCGAGAUAUGCAGAUGUGCGGGGCUGCGCGGUAUUGACAUUUUGAGGCCACGGUGAUCGGAAUGUAUUAUUUAUAGGAGCGGGUUGCGCUGGGCCCAUAAACUGCAUCUUACGUCCUCGGCGUCGGUAGGCAGCAAUACGUGUGUGUGUGUGUGCUCACACCUAUAGCCGUCUGUUUGUGUGUGCAUCGCGUGUCCCACAGCCCCAUCCCCAUGCAGGCCGCGUGCCCCAGUGAGGCCGUCGGCCCCAUUCCCCCCACGUCCCCUUCUCACAUACGUUCUCUCCUGGCCCUGGAAACGCGUCGGCCUCCUCGCAGUGCUGUCCCUCUGCCAGGAACCGUUCCCUUCCUGCGCUCCAACAGCUCCUGAAACGAGGGGAAGCGCCGUGGGUGGGUGCUGGAGAGCGGAUUGUUUCUCAUGUAAAUGUUACCCCGUCUCUCUGCACUUUGUGUCUUUGCUUUCCCCUUUGCCAGUUCUUGCUGAGGGAAAGAAAAAGGAAAAAAAAAAAAAAAACAACCCAACAAAGAUUAAUGUCAUGUAAAAUGGGAGGGGUGGGGGACAGAGCUAGAGGUGAACUUUCCACAUCCCCUUCCUCUGGGCGUCCUGGUAGCUUUUCCAUAGAAACUUUCACCCAGUGGUCAGACAGACACUUAAAAGGGGGUGGAAGAAAAUAAUGACAGCCCCCCGACCCCCCGGCAUCGCAGCAUCCCCUGCUCACGGGCUGCUGGUGCUGAGCUCGGCUGCAGCACUGCGACUGCCGCCCGCAGCUCCCGGCAGUGGGAGCGCGGCUCCCCGGGGGACAGCAGCCGUGGUGGUGCUCGUGGGGUUCCCCAAGUGGAGAAAAUUCCCAUUCAUUUGGCAGAGGAAACAUUUUGCUACGUGUGUUUCAACAAAACACUAAAAACCCUGCUCGUGUUUUUUUUAGCAAUCACUUCGCACAGCCUGACGGCCUCCCACAGCCCCAGCCCGGCCCGCGACAGCUCCGAGAGGCCUCUCCUCCUCCCUCCUCGCUGCUGGCUGCUCUUUUCCUGUCUAAUCAAUUAUCUCCCUAGCUAGUCCUUCUCAAAGGUGAGAGCUCAUUAUGCAUAUUCAUAAAUCACAGCUCCCAGCCCUGACACUGAUUGAUGUAAUCAUCUCCUGCCUGCGCCUUCCUGCACCCGAGGAGCGCAGUGCGGAGCAGUGGGACGGGGCUGGGGCUGGUGGCCGUGCAGGGCCGAGUGGGCAGUGUGGGGCAGGGCAGGAGGCAGCCCCAUGCUGAGAGGUGCCCCGUGCAGCCAGCCGUGUGCAGGAGGAACGGAAACCAUGAGUCUGCAGCUUGGUUGUCUCCCAUGUCAAUUCCUAAAGUUUGAAAGUCUAACUUGCUUCCAAGAGAGGCAAAGCGCAAGCUUCACUGAGAAGUUCGACCAUCCCUAUUCCAAAAUAAUUUAAUGGAAAUGGACAUCCAAGAUGGCUAUUGAACAGCAGCCUUCGUGCCCGAGUUCUCGGAUGGAGACUUUUGCAAGUUAUUCCCAGAGAAGACAGUGCCAGAAAUGUAUGCCUGAUAGACAGCUUCCCUCCAGCGUACUAAAUCAAAAGCCUAAUACUAACAGAAAUGUGUUGAUAUAAUUUUAGAACAAAUUAAAAUUAAAAUCCAGGACAGGCAGUGCUAGUGCUCACACCUUGCCUCCCGGCAUCCUAUGUGGCCGCUGAGAUUACUCGAGCGGCUCAAGGCGGGGGCUAGACCUCUGCUUUUACACCUCCCAUGCUGGCACUGAGGCACCUAGGCACAAGGAAUGGGGAGAGAAACCAGCUAGGAACAACGCCACGCUCCGGCCUACUUCUGUGUGCAAAAAAUAAACAAAAUGCAGGAAACUGGCAAAGGAAAAUGUCGCUCCCAAGAGCCAGAGGCAGAACUGGUACUACAGGUAGGGCUGGUGUUUAUUAUGUAGGGCUCUUAAAGGUGGUUUUAAGGAUGGCGGUGUCCCCUUAAGGACGGCAGCACACAGCUAAUAUUUUCUUUACUGCCACUGAAAUGCAAGUAAAUCCCAUGAAUUAAUAUAUUCACUUCAGGAAGAAUUCCCAUUCUUUUCUUAGGAUAUCAAAAUGGAGCCAUCAUCAGUCAGUUAGUUAAAUAGGAGUAUCUGGAGAGUAAGUAAAUGGAAGAGCUUUCAAACGCAGGGCUAAAAAUGCCCAAUGAAUGUGUAGGGGGCUUCAAUAAAAAGAUUUUGACUUGUGUUUUCACCCCUUUCCCACUUUGCUCAUUGUUUACUGACACUGCUAUGGACACAGCAUUCAGGCACUGCCUGCCCGAGCCCUGGGAUGUAAAAAUGUCAUCUCUAUUGUGCUGCUGGGCCGGCUUUGAUGCUGCCGCCGCCCUUUGUGCGCGCCUCUAAAUCCCUUUAUAAGGCUGUCCCGAUUGUCCGCGCCGCACAUCGCCACAAAAGCUCAUCUUAUGAGAAAGUAAAAAAGUCAGAGAGGGGCCGAAUGACGGGAGAUUGGGCCUUUGCUGUAAAAAGCCCACUGUUUGUCUUCAGUUCUCUCCGAGCAAUUGCAAAGUUUGGGCCGCGGCCGCAGGCAGCAAAGCCAGGGCUCGCGUUGAAAAGCCAGCCCGCUGGGACACGUCCUCCUUACCUUCUAUCUACAACUGCCAGUGUUGUUUUUGUAAGGAGUGGGCGCUACGGAGGGGAAGAGUUAAGCCCUAGAAGUGCUCCUGGAGUGUAUUUUCCCAUUUCUGAAGUAGGACUCGUGCACAUUUCAUGUGAGGAGCUGCGACGGACUGCACGCAGAUUCAAGCAGUGCUGCAAAAAGUGCCCAGUCGUUACACAGAGCAAACCCGCAAUAAAUACAGCCCUGUCCCCGCGGGACCGCGCGCCUUCGGGACGGGAACCCGAGCUGCGGACUCGCACUGCUGCUCAGGCAGUUGUUCUCCUGCCUAAUGCUAUUCUGACUUGUCCUGAAUGUUAGUGGGCAGGAGGCAGACAAAGGCUGGAUAAGGUCUUAUUCUUUCGGCGUGGGCUAUCGGCAUGGGAGGACGGUGAUUUCAUGGCUUUUGUUGCCGAGGUUAGGGACCGAAUUCUCUCACUGAAUUAGAAUGGUAACAAGUGGGACUGGGGAUCUCUGGGGCUUUUGUAGUGCACUCAUCUGAGAGAUUGCGCUUUUCUCAGCCCUUCAGAUUUUUUUGCCAAAGUUACAGGGCAAUUAUGGAAAUGCGCCCUUUGAAGCUCGGCCGAUUUCUCUUUAUUUUCUCUCCCCCCCACCCCACCCCAGCAAAGCCAAGCUUCCCUCGCCUCCUUUCUUCAGCCGAGUGGCCCGCACUGACGCUGGGGUUUUGAGUGGCGACUCUGCUAAGCUUUGGAACAGCAAGAAAAACUUUUAAUAAAUAUAUGCUAAAAACCAGGCUUUGAAGCUUUUUGGGAAGGAAGUGCAAAAUAACAGGGAGGUAACGACCUCCUAGGAAAGGGUCUGCGUAUGUGGCAUGCUGGAAGAUCCACGCUAUGAAAAGAGCCUCAGUGUGGCGGAGCGCGGCGUUCAGCCAUGCCACUGCCCACUGCACCGCACUGCGCGGAGCUCAGCUGCACCUCACACUGCAGUGAGGGGCCCAGGGCAAACAGCGCUGCGCUUUCUCACCCUCCUACACUAUUUAUCAGCACAGUUUGGAAUCUUGGUGCUGCCUGUGAGCUAAUAUGACCUACUUUUUACUUUACUUCUGUCCUACCCCUAAGGAAACGCAUCCAAAACAAGAUGGUCAGACCUGGAGCUAUGUGGUCUCUGAUUAGGACUGCUUUUUGCGCCCAAACUCAGUUUUGCACCUCUGUUUGGCCCCCCUUUUGUUUCUCUAUUUGCAGCAGGCUGCCUUGCACCUGUAGGAUAAACCGAGGCUUUUCUGGGCCAUUCAACAAAUGCUAUGGGCCACACUCAGACUUGAUGUGAGUAGGAGAUAACUAUUGGUCUCCCUGAAACUUACAUACACCUACACAGGACAUAAGCCCAACCUGAAAUGUAGACCUUUCUAUCAGCAACAAAACAUGGUAAGAAUUGCAAUAUUCCUUGCCUGUGUUCUGUAACUGCGGUGCAAAUAUCCUUUGUGCUCUUUACAGAGCUUAUGAGGGAUCUUAGGACCUUCAGCAGCACAGAAUACAAGAGCCUG